GUAGUCAUCUACAGAGUAGAAAUACUUCUCUGUGGGUUUACAUUCCUCCUCCUCGCUGCCUUUCUGGGAGUUCUCGCACAUGAUGACGCAAAAUGACUCCCAGUUUUAUCUAGGCAGAGGGGGAUGCUUGUAGCUGUGGUGGAUUCUGACGUAGCUUUGGGCUUGCAGGAAUGUCAUUGGUGUGCUAAGUCUUCUCCUGCUUUGCCUGCCUGCCAGUGAAGGGAAGGCUGAAUGCUAAGGAUGUUUCCUUCCUCCUCCCCAAAUGCAAAGGGCAAAGAGCUGUUACCCCUUGCCCAAGGUUCUGCUGUGGAGCUGUGGUGCGCAGCCUCCACCUUAGCCUAGUUCUAGUGCUCCCUAAUUCCUUAUGUUUACGUUGGCCUGGAAAGGUGGUGUAGUGAAGCAGCUGUACUUGGUCAACCCCCCUUUCUCUGCCCCUUAAGGGACCCUGUUGUGGAACAUGGGAAUGGUGUGGCAGGCUCAUUGCUCCUUUGUUCGCCAGUAGGUCAGGCAGGAAGGAAAAGAAGUUGGGGGACUGCCUUGUAUAAAUCCCUCUUGCCAAAGAUCCUACGAUUAUUCAGAUUGCACUACAGAUGAGUAAUUCAACUUUUUUUCUGGUGGCUUUAUCCUGCUUUGCUUUCAACUCUCUUCUGUGAUGCCCCUGGCCAGCCGCUGGAUGGCAUCAUUGCCUGGAGCUCACUUACAAAAUGACCUACUUCAGCGAUGAAAGGCUUGUUUGUGCGAAGCAGCACGACAUGGACCAGUGGUGGCCUGUUGGCUGGCUCUGCUUCCCUGAAAAUGGAGGUCACCCAAAAAGAAGCUUGACUGACUUUGCCAGUGCCAAUAUGAGCUACUUCUGUCUCAUGGAAUAGCUGCCAGCUCUGCGUUGAAGCUCAGUGGGAGGCUCGGUGUAAAGCCAAGGUAGGGGGUCCUGGCUUCUUAGGUAACCUUCCCUACAGCUCCUUCAUCAGCCUCGACUGUCAGCCUUGUGGGCCAGCUGGCUCUGGAAGUGUUCCUGUGGUUUGAGAGGCAGAUGAGGAGCACAGUGCCAGCCUGAGCUCUGCCAAGCACUAGUGAGAAACCAGCCCCUGAGAGCACAUGGAGCUGCCAAAGAAGAGGUCAGAGAAUGAAAGCGUGCUCAUAGUGCGUGCUGUGCUGUGCUCUGUGGUGCCCAAAUGCCAGGGCACAGCUAGUGAUGCUGUACAGUCUAAAGGCUUCAGGCCAGCCGGUCUAACCACAGUACAUUUUUCGUCUUGCUUUCUUGGUGUGGCUAUUUAACAUGGGUCAACAGUUCUGCAUUUAUGGGACUGCCAUGUAAGGUCUCAUUGAUAGAGCUCAAAAUUCUGAAUGCGGACGAGUGUUGGGCUGAAUGCGGGCGAGCUGUUUCUCCCGGAUAGUUCCAGCAGUGAUCCCAAAGCUGAUGUUACCUUAUGCCUCCUCCACGUUUCAGUAGCUGAACGUUACCUCUAUAUGCUUAUCUGGUUGGUUACCAGCCCCAAAGGAAGAUGCUGCCAUAUUGACUCUAUGGAGAAAAACCUCUUCCCUCCCUACUUCCCCUAUGAUGGGAUUUGUAAAGGUGGCUCCAUAAGGUGGUCUCCUAUCCUGGGUAUUCUCAUGGUUUGACCGGUUCCAGGUGUUUGCACUGGCUCUCCAGCACUGACCUUCCCUUGUAAAGGGAGAUGAGAAAGAGUCCAAAGGAGAAUUGUUGCUCAUCUUGAAUUCCAGUCCAUGCAGUGACUUUGGGUCCAGUGUAGAGCUGGUGAGAGCAGUGCAGCCAAGCUGACUCUACCAUGCAUCUGCCUGGAGCAGCUUUCAGAGAGCCAGAUGCAUUUCUGAGCGUACACAGUAGCUGCAGAGCUUUUUGGAGGCUUCUGAGCUAGGGGGUAAGCUAAUCACUAGGGUCAACCUUAAAGUUGCGUCUCCCUGGCUAAAACAAUGCACUGUCUGAAUUACAAGUUACUUAGUUUUGCUGUACAUCAGAAAUGUAGCUGCACCAUUGCCCGGUAAUUUCCUGUCUGCAAUCAAGGCUUUCACAGGGGCCUGUGGACCUUGGCUAAAGAAUACUAAAAGAUACAGGUUAUUCUUGUGGGGAGAAAAUGUUACCUUUCUUGGAGAAUGUAACCUUCCCCUACAUCUCUGAGAAAAAAAAUCUUAGAUGUUUUUGAGCUUCUGGCGUCUUACAGGAUCUGCAAAACGAAGGAGCCAGCCGAAUAACUCGCUUUACCAUAGAUGAGUCCACCGUGUCCAUUUGAGACAAUAUGACACAGACCUGACUCAAGCCCAAGAUGAGAGGCUUGGCUUGGUGUCCCAGUGUGUCUCUCCUUGGAUUCUCUCUGUGCUGGUGGUCUAUACCAGCUAUCUCUGAGGGAGGUCCAAGAAAUUCUGCGGUUAGCAGCUGCAGGACAAACCUCCCCUUGGGAAAUCUCUUUCUAACUCGUUGCCCUUGGUGGUAGUGUUUACAUUGCUCAAAACCUAAAACAUGAAUGUGUUGGUUAAAUAGCGGUAGAUGGUGUUCUUGUUGAAAUGAAUAGAAGUGAAUUUCUUCCCCAGCACACAGUAAUAGACACUUCCUUUUUAUUUCUUGUUUGGGGAGGUUUUGUGGGGUUUUUGGUUUUGGUUUUCUUUUGGUUACAAGUGAAGCUCUAAUGCAGUUUGAGUCAUCUGUAGGAUUUUUAAUGCACAAUACUUGAAUUUAGGAGCUGACUUCAGAUAGUGAGAGUCUUCUUGGUCUCACUAUUCCUAUUGCAGCAGCUGAAAAUCUCAGCAUCACAGCUAUCAUCGAGAGAAACUGAGGGCUUUGAAGUAUAGAUGAAGCAAAAAUAAUCUUGUCCUCCGUGAAUCUCCCCUAAUUGAGAUCGGUUAUUCAGUACCCUCAAAUGCACACGAGCUGCAAAGGCUUACCGCUGACGCAGCUCUGCAAAACCCGCCAUGCGCUUCUAACCGUACAGCACUCGUGGAAAAGUAAAACGUCAGCGUGGCAACCUAGAGCGGCUCUACCAACAUGAGGAAUUAAUUUGAUAUUUCUCAUGAGUGAGCAGAAACGCAGGGUGUUGCUCUGCCUUUUCCUGUCCAGGGAGAUGGACGGACCCUGGGGGAGCCUGAUGC